AAUACUUUUCUAGUUGGCUGUUGCGAAGGGCCAAACAAAAUACUAGUUUUUAAUAAUCGGUAACCGGGGAGAUGAUUGACACUUCAAUCAAUAAUUUAAACUUUCUGUCGCAAGACUCGAAAUUAUAAAAAAAAUAUAAAUUUGUGUUUAUCAAUUUUUAAGCAAUAAAAUAAUGGCUAUGCAAAAUAGAUUUGAAAAUCGUUAUAAGUAUAUGAUUUCUUGCUAUAUCCAAUGUAAUGACAACGCGGAUGAAGCAGCUGAACUUUACUUCCAGAAGAAAUCUGUCAUCUGACGAUUUUUCGACUCCCACGAAACGGAGAAAAAAGUAAUAAAGAUUAAGGAAAGAGAUAAUAAGAUCAGAAGAGAAAAGCAUAUAUUGCAAAUGAUGGUGAGGAGACUAAGGCUUCGCAUCACAAACGUAUCUUCUUUGUUGGAUUACUUAAAUGAAAAGGCCUACAUUCUGGAAAAUGCUGAAACUGCCAUUAGGGAUUCUGUAUCUGGUCUGUUCCCCCGAAUUGGCUUUAACAACUCUUCCAAGUCUUCCUGUUAACAUCCGAAACUCCUCUUCUUAAUAUAUCUUUAAACACAUGUUUAAAGAGCUUAGGUUAGAGAAGGCAUUCUAUUCAUUGCAUAAAUAUUUUACUUUUGUCAUGUUUUUUUAUUUAUUUACUCAUCCUAUGUUUCUGACUGUAUUACUAAUAGAUUUGUGAGUAUUUUGAAAAUAUGAAUUUUUUAUAGCAUAUAUUUAACAUUUAUUUCAU